rnacentral:pre_miRNA from 1 species
AUGGAGAACUGGCAUUUUGCCUCAGAUUGUGAAUUCCAAACUUCAGAGUUGUUUCCCAAAACCAAGAAAACCCCCUCUCAGCUUGAUGUCACAGCCUGAACCAGGCUUCUUCU